AUGGUUCGCCUUCAAAUGAUCUUCACUGAACGAUGGUUCUUGCUUUGCAGAAACAAUGAUCCACCUUCAAGUUCUCUGUCUGAGCGAAGAAAUUCAAGAUAUGAAUGUUGUGUUUGUUCACAAAAGUUAAACAUAUACCAUGUAAUUGCCACAUCGAUCUUAUCUUUGAUUCUUGCUCAAUUUUCUUCAAUCCGGAAGUUGGUCGUUGUUGAUUGUGAUACUGAGAUUUAG